ACUAUUUAGGCGGAAAUUAGCGCGUUAAAUUUAGGAUUUAAGUAUGAUUGAUAAUCAAAUAGUA
rnacentral:tRNA from 1 species